UUUGAGGUCUUUCCUGCCCAGUGAUAAAUUAAAUGGCCGCAGUAUUUUGACUGUGCAAAGGUAGCGUAAUCAUUAGUUUUUUAAUUGAAAGCUUGUAUGAAUGGUCGGACGAGGUAUACACUGUCUUUAUAUAAUUUAUUGUAGAAUUUAACUUUUAAGUAAAAAGGCUUAAAUUAAACUAAUAGACGAGAAGACCCUAUAGAUCUUUAUAAGUUAAUUAUUAAUUAUGUAAGGGGCACUUAUUAAUUAAUAAUGAAAUUUAUUUUAUUGGGGUAAUAUAAAGAUUAAAAGAAUUCUUUGAAAUAUAAACAAGAAUGAUUGGUUAAUUGAUCCAUUAAUAUUGAUUAUAAGAUUAAGUUACCUUAGGGAUAACAGCGUAAUUUUUUUAGAGAGUUCAUAUCGAUAAAAAAGUUUGCGACCUCGAUGUUGGACUAAAAAUUAUUUCGGGUGCAGAAGUUCGAAAAUUUGGUCUGUUCGACCAUUAAAUUUUUACAUGAUCUGAGUUCAGACCGGCGUAAGCCAGGUCGGUUUCUAUCUUUAGUAAAUUAAAAUAUUUCAGUACGAAAGGACCAAAUAUUGAAUAUAAUUAUUUUAGUUUUGAAUACCAUUAUUACUUUGGCAGAAUAGUGCAAUGAAUUUAGAAUUCAUGAAUGUAAUUUUAGUUACAGGUAAUACUUGUUUUAUGGUGAUUUAAUCCUUUCGAUUACUUGUAUGUUGCUGUUGGUAGUAUGUGUAUUGGUAGGAGUUGCCUUUCUGACUUUACUAGAACGAAAAGUUUUGGGCUAUAUCCAAAUUCGU
rnacentral:rRNA from 1 species